rnacentral:rRNA from 1 species
AGUCCACGCGUAAACGAUGAGUGCUAAGUGUUGGAGGGUUUCCCCCUUCAGUGCUGCAGCUAACGCAUUAAGCACUCCGCUGGGGAGUACGACCGCAAGGUUGAAACUCAAAGGAAUUGACGGGGGCCCGCACAAGCGGUGGAGCAUGUGGUUUAAUUCGAAGCAACGCGAAGAACCUUACCAGGUCUUGACAUCCUUUGACCACUCUAGAGAUAGAGCUUUCCCUUCGGGGACAAAGUGACAGGUGGUGCAUGGUUGUCGUCAGCUCGUGUCGUGAGAUGUUGGGUUAAGUCCCGCAACGAGCGCAACCCUUAUUGUUAGUUGCCAUCAUUCAGUUGGGCACUCUAGCGAGACUGCCGGUGACAAACCGGAGGAAGGUGGGGAUGACGUCAAAUCAUCAUGCCCCUUAUGACCUGGGCUACACACGUGCUACAAUGGGAAGUACAACGAGUCGCUAGGCCGCGAGGUCAUGCAAAUCUCUUAAAGCUUCUCUCAGUUCGGAUUGCAGGCUGCAACUCGCCUGCAUGAAGCCGGAAUCGCUAGUAAUCGCGGAUCAGCACGCCGCGGUGAAUACGUUCCCGGGCCUUGUACACACCGCCCGUCACACCACGAAAGUUUGUAACACCCGAAGUCGGUGAGGUAACCUUUUGGAGCCAGCCGCCUAAGGUGGGAUAGAUGAUUGGGGUGAAGUCGUAACAAGGUAACCAAGGGCGAAUUCCAG